rnacentral:lncRNA from 1 species
UCCACACCACCCUGUGUUCUGCCAAAGGGAGCUAAAAUGAGCCCUGUUUUACCAAACCACUCAAGCACGGCUGACACAGUGUGUUGCUGCAGAAGGAUCGGGGUGGGUGGGAGUAGGGACAGUGCAGAGAGAAAGAAAGGAGUGCAUGCUACAUCUCUCCCUCUCCAAGAGGACUUGGCAGAAAGCCCAUGCAUGUUUCAAGCUUGUUUUGACAGUUCCAUGACAGGAGUCAUAGGGCUGUAGCUGUAGAAAGCCCAAGAAACACAUUUUUGUUAUCCCAUCAAAAUCUUCCCGGGGAGCUACAUUGUUGGGGCAAGUUAUGUGUCAUCACUGGCAUCAAAAGAGAAAAAGAAAUGAAUGAUCUGGCUCAGGUGCCAAGGCUCUCGUCCUGAGGAGGGAAAUGACAUUUAUUGAGCCCCUGCAAUAGCAACAACAAAUUAUUAUUAUUGGGCACUUUGCAUGUGCCAGGCACUGGGAUAAAACACAGGCAUGGACUCAGCAAUCCCGAUGACUGUCCUUGGAUACAGGCUGUGCUAAUUAUCCCCCUUUUAAAGACCAGGCAAUGGAGGCGCAGAGGGGCCAGGUGAUGUGCCCGAGGCUGCAUGGCAGUAAGUGGCGAAGGUGGGAUUUGAACUGGUUUGCCUCUCCCAGAGUCCAAAUCCUUCCUUGCAACGCAGAGCUGCUCUGACUGUAAGGAGUGUGGGGUCUCUCCUCAGAGUCCCAGAUACUCAGGAUCUCAUUUAAUCUUCGCAACAACCCUGAGGCAUAGGGGUUUUUAGAUCUGCUUUACAGAUGAAGAAACUGAGGUCCAGGGAGGCUUAGUGAUGCCCAAAGCCACACCUCCAGAAGCAGCAGGAUCUGCAGGCACAGCUGGGUGUCCUGGCCCUGGGUCAAGCGACUUUCCUACUGACUUCCACCCACAAGGGCUGCAUGAUGGUUAAUACUGAGUAACAACUUGAUCAGAUUGAAGGAUGCAAAGUAUUGUUUCUGGGUGUGUCUUCGAGGGUGUUGCCAAAGGAGAUUAAUAUUUGAGUCAGUGGGCUAGGGAAGGCAGACCCACCCUUAAUCUGGUGGGCACAAUCUAAUCAGCUGCCAACGAAUAUAAAGCAGGCAGAAAAAUGUGAAAAGGCGAGACUGGCUUAGCCUCCAGCCCAUAUCUUUCUCCCGUGCUGGAUGCUUCCUGCCCUCGAACAUCAGACUCCAAGUUCUUCAGUUUUGGGACUCUGCCUGGCUCUCCU